rnacentral:lncRNA from 1 species
GGCAAUAUCAAAGUUAGCCUUCAAAAUGAAGGUCCUUUUUCUAGGUUUCACCAGCAGUGAGUACAAGAUUAGAUUCUUUGACCGCUGGCUCUAGCAGGAGCGGAGGUCUCAAUUUUACCGCCUUUACCCUGCCCACAAGCCCCUUUCCGGGACAACCCUGAAACCUAGUGCACAGGUGGAGGAAGUCAGACUGAGGGUGGAGAUUGACUGAACAGAUGGAACAGAAAUUAAGCACAUUUGAUAUCAGGGUUAUUUGCCAUCCUGAGCAGCUUGCAUGCUUUUCCCAGACCAAUACCAUACAGAGACUGCAAGUAGUCACAGCCAGAGAGGAUGCACAUAUAUCGAAACUUCUCCUCUGUGAAGAUGUUGCCAAGAGAUUUGCAUCGGCCCAGAGUUCUUACUCUCGCCGGGACUUCUCCACUUCCUGUUUGGAGGGCAAGUUACGACCAUCAAACACCAAGAUAGGUUUAACACCAAAAGAAAGCAGCAUGUCCACAAACUUCAUACAGUAGGAGACAUACCUGAUGGACACAGAAUAUGAGCAUGAAGAAUGAAAAAUGGUGUUAGGCAUAUAUGCUAUGUUUACAUGAUUUUGUUGCAAUCAAAAAUAAACAUUGGUACAUGCAAA